UGGUUGGCACCUGAACUGUAUUGACUUGAGUGCAGGAGAAGGUAAAGCUGAAUCCUAGUGGUAGGCGGUGAAUGCGUAGAUAUUUAGGAGGAAACACCCAGUGGCGAAGGCGGCUUACUGGACCUGUAACUGACGCUGAGAACACGAAAGCGUGGGUAGCAAAACAGGAUUAGAUAUCCUCGGUAGUCAACGCUGUAAAUGAUGAGUGCUAGGUGUUGAGUAGCGAUAUUCAGUGCCCGGAGUAAACACAAUAAGCACUCCCGCCUGGGGAGUACGUACGCAAGUAUGAAACUCAAAGGAAUUGACGGGGACCCGCACAAGCAGCGGAGCAUGUGGUUUAAUUCGAAGCAACGCGAAGAACCUUACCAAGGCUUGACAUCCCCUUGACCAGUGCAGAGAUGUACUCUCUUCUUCGGAAGCAAGAGAGACAGGUGGUGCAUGGUUGUCGUCAGCUCGUGUCGUGAGAUGUUGGGUUAAGUCCCGCAACGAGCGCAACCCUUAUCCUUAGUUGCCAGCAUAUAAGGUGGGCACUCUAAGGAGACUGCCGGUGAUAAACCGGAGGAAGGUGGGGAUGACGUCAAAUCAUCAUGCCCCUUAUGUCUUGGGCUACACACGUGCUACAAUGGUCGGUACAACGGGGAGCGAAGGAGUGAUCCGGAGCAAAUCCCAAUAAACCGAUCCCAGUUCGGAUUGCAGGCUGCAACUCGC
rnacentral:rRNA from 1 species